rnacentral:rRNA from 1 species
AUUGAACGCUAGCGGCAGGCCUAACACAUGCAAGUCGAGCGAGCGGCGGACGGGUGAGUAAUGUCUGGGAAACUGCCUGAUGGAGGGGGAUAACUACUGGAAACGGUAGCUAAUACAGAAUACCAGCAGCUGUGCCCAGGUGGGAUUGGCUAGUAGGUGGGGGAACGGCUCACCUAGGCGACGAACCCUAGCUGGUCUGAGAGGAUGACCAGCCACACGGGAACUGAGACACGGUCCAGACUCCUACGGGAGGAAGCAGUGGGGAAUAUUGCACAAUGGGCGGAAGCCUGAUGCAGCCAUGCCGCGUGUUUGAAGAAGGCCUUCGGGUUGUAAAGCACUUUCAGCUGGUAGGCGUUACCCGCUGAAGAAGCACCGGCUAACUCCGUGCGAGAAGGCGAGGUAAUAC